UACGGAGGAUCCAAGCGUUAUCCGGAAUCAUUGGGUUUAAAGGGUCCGUAGGCGGCCUUAUAAGUCAGCGGUGAAAGUUUUUGGCUUAACCAAAAAAUUGCCGUUGAUACUGUAGGGCUUGAAUUUUUGUGAAGUAACUAGAAUAUGUAGUGUAGCGGUGAAAUGCUUAGAUAUUACAUGGAAUACCAAUUGCGAAGGCAGGUUACUAACAAACGAUUGACGCUGAUGGACGAAAGCGUGGGUAGCGAACAGG
rnacentral:rRNA from 1 species